GGCAGGGAGGUUCGACUCGAGCGAAGCGAGAGAACGUUGCGCCAGCAACGGCCCGCAGGGCGAGCCACGAAGUGGCGAGUAAUCCUCUAUCACCGACCA
rnacentral:sRNA from 1 species